rnacentral:tRNA from 1 species
GGGCCUGUAGCUCAAAGGUUAGAGCCGGCGGCUCAUAACCGCUUGGUUGGGGGUUCGAGUCCCUCCGGGCCCA